rnacentral:misc_RNA from 1 species
UCUCCGUAGGUGAACCUGCGGAAGGAUCAUUAAAGUUAUCGUCACCUGGCCCUUUCGGGUUGGGGUCUUCUAUUCUUCCCUUUGCUUCUUACCCCUUUGUUCCUUUCCCCCGCCUGUCUUCGAGCUUCUGGCCCAGGCCGGCGAUCCUCCGCCAGAGGCUCUACACACUGUUAAAACUUUCAACCACGGUACUCUUUGCUCCUUAAAACUUUCAACACCGAAUCUCUUGGUUCUGCCAACGUUGAAACACCCAGCACACCGGAUAAGCACACAUCCCAA